UACAGAGGUCUCAACCGUUGUUCGGAUUCAUUGGGCGUAAAGGGUGCGUAGGCGGUCGCGCAAGUCGGAUGUGAAAUCUUAGGGCUCAACCCUGAAACUGCAUUCGAUACUGCGUGGCUUGAGUACUGGAGGGGAGACUGGAAUUUACGGUGUAGCAGUGAAAUGCGUAGAUAUCGAGAGGAACACCAGUGGCGAAGGCGGCUCACUGGCCCGAUACUGACGCUGAGGCACGAAAGCGUGGGGAUCAAACAGG
rnacentral:rRNA from 1 species